ACGGAAGGCAGCAGUAGGGAAUAUUGCGCAAUGGGGGAAACCCUGAUGCAGCAACGCCACGUGUGGGAAGACGCAUUUCGGUGUGUAAACCACUGUCGUGAGGGAAUAAGGCUGAGUUUCGGCUCAGUUGAAUGUACCUCGAGAGGAAGCACCGGCAAACUUCGUGCCAGCAGCCGCGGUAAUACGAGGGGUGCAAGCGUUGUUCGGAAUCACUGGGCGUAAAGGGAGCGCAGGCGGAAGUGCAAGCGGUCUGUACAAUACCGGGGCCCAACCCCGGACCUGCAGACCGGACUGCAUUUCUUGGAUAGUUCAGGGGCAAGCGGAAUUCCUGGUGUAGCGGUGGAAUGCGUAGAGAUCAGGAAGAACACCGAUGGCGAAGGCAGCCAGCUGGGGACUCAUCGACACUGAGGCUCGAAAGUGCGGGUAGCAAACAGGAUUAGAUACCCUGGUA
rnacentral:rRNA from 1 species